GUCGAUGUUGUCAUAUUUUUUAUCGGCAAAGAUAAAGAUUUGUUGCUUUUGCAACGUUACUCAACAUUAGCCAGAUAGUUUUGGAGAAAUAAACGUAAACAUCAUAUGGUGGGGAACAGUACAAGCGCCUGAACACUGUACAAAAAUGGAGGCCCUAUCCAGUGAAAAAUGAUUUGGAUGGAUACAUGCACUUUAAAUUUCCAACAAAUUUUAGUAUUGAUUCGAAGACAUUAUUUGUUGAAGUACGUAUGUAAGUCUCUACAAGAGAUUUGACAGACAAAAUUAUUGAAAUUUGGUGGACUUUCAAUAAAUUCUUUAGUUGAGGUAGUUGUUGAAAUAGGCUUAUUACCAUUUAGCCUCCCGAAGCGGGCUGGUAGAUGAUUUUUUGUCUUGAUUAUGUGUACAUUGUUGUUGUUAUAUGUUGGCUUGCAAAGAGUGUCUUUCAACAACAAAUUUGCACUUUGGGUCGUUGAUAUUCAAAAUAAAUUGUUGCAGGAUAAUUAACAACUUCCGUAGUUGUUUUUUCAACCAAA